UCCAGGGUAGCUUAGUGGACAUGGCAUCUUCCCGGUAAGCGGAACACUGUGGGUUUGAUUCCCAUCCUUGGAC
rnacentral:tRNA from 1 species